rnacentral:rRNA from 2 species
CGAAGGGGGCUAGCGUUGCUCGGAAUCACUGGGCGUAAAGGGUGCGUAGGCGGGUCUUUAAGUCAGGGGUGAAAUCCUGGAGCUCAACUCCAGAACUGCCUUUGAUACUGAAGAUCUUGAGUUCGGGAGAGGUGAGUGGAACUGCGAGUGUAGAGGUGAAAUUCGUAGAUAUUCGCAAGAACACCAGUGGCGAAGGCGGCUCACUGGCCCGAUACUGACGCUGAGGCACGAAAGCGUGGGGAGCAAACAGG